UCUUCUUCCCCCCCUCUCUCUCUCGUGUGUAUGAGUGUGAGAUCGUGUGUGCAUGCUCUGUAUGUAUCUCUCUGUGUAUGUGAGUGCAUACAGUAAACCUUUUCUCUGUCUUUGUCUCUGUUUCACUCUGUGAGUGUGUGUGAGAGAGUAUGUGUGUACAUGCUCUGUGUGUGUGAGUGUGUGUAUGUGUGUGUGUGUGAGAGAGAGAAAGAGCAUGUGUGCAUGUUCUGUAUGUGUACACAUGUAAAAGACAAGAUCAUCUUAGCUGUCAUUCCUCAGUAGUCAUUGGCCUCUUUUUUUUUUUUUUUUUUUUUUUUUUGAGACAGGAUCUCUCGCUGGCCUGGAGUUGACUGAUUAGGCUAGCUGGCAGACCAAUGGGCUCCCCAGCGCUAGGAAGUGCUCACUGCCGUGCUGGGCCUUUUUUACAUGGGUGUUAGGGCUAAACUUCAGGUCCCUAUGCUUGCAUAGCAAACACUUUAACGACUACGCUAUCUCUUCAGCCCUACUGUUCUUUAUACAUUUUUUUUUUAUUUCAAAGUUGCAGAGACUCUACAAAGCCUCCAGGGGCCUUGCAUGACCAGAACAGUGUGCAGAUAAAAGAAAAACUAGGUAAAGAGACCUCAUUUGUGAAACAAAGGUGAUUCUUUUCCGCAGGGAUAGGGGAGCCCUGGCUCAACAGGACUGGCCCCCAUCUGCAAUGUCAGAACGUGACUUUCAGCUUUGUGGGGAUAAAUACCACUAUGAGCAGCAAUUCCCAGAGACAUCAUUAUCACGUGGGUUAGAAACUCCAAAGCCCACAAACCUUCUCUUUCCCUCCCCUCAGCCCCCACCUGCUCUCCCCCAGACGCGACUCCAAACCUCACCUGAACAAACAGGAAGUCUUGGCUUCUCAGUGAGGUGAUGUCUGGCUUUUCCAAUGAAAUCUCACAGGUAAUUGCCGGGUCUGUGCCCGGAACCUGACUACAGUGAAUUGCCUGUGCCCAACCUGUGUCACCUGAAGAAUGCCCCACCCCAGGUGGUAAGCAUGGAAGGAGUUAGCAGCAGGCGGCACCAGGCAACAGAUCAGGAGGCCUCUCUGGGGCCCUACCCCGCCUCCUUCCUCAGCAUGCAGCCUGUAUCCAGUCAGUGUUCGGAGGGUGACAGCAUCAGAAAACCCACAAAAUUAGCCUUCAGGGGAUGAGCUGCGAUGAGCUAUGUGGCCCCGCAUAUUUUGGAGCCACCCAGGGAUAACGUUCCGGUUGUAAUUAAAAAUGAGGCAGAGACAGCACAUGUCACAGGUGGAACACAAGUCAUUUAAAAGCAAGGAACCCACAAAAAGAAAACCCACUUAGAGAAAUCCCCUUCCAAAAGAAAGCCCCCAAAGAGGCUUCGCUUAUUUUAGAAGCUUUAAAAGAAAUGCUUAGUGACACAGUUCAGCAGACUCUGUUUAAGGGAAGGUGGGACUCUGAGACUAUUUUGACAAGACAGAGUUUUGACUGAAGUUGGGGAAGCUGAAAGCGUUACUUUCAGAUGUAAUUAUGUGAAAUUUCAAUUAUCGCCCGUCCUUUUUUAAAAAGUCUUUCAGUUUGGCAGGCAAUUAGUAGAAGUGACAGAGGGCGGGGGUCUGCGAGGUAUGCUGUGUGAUUCUUCCCAGGGUCAGACCCUCUCUCAGUAAUUAGAUGUCCUGGCUGCCCUGGGAAUAAUGGCAUUGGGGAGCUGGAUCAAUGUGACCCGGGAAUCUUGAUGAGCCCCUACUGUGUGCCCUGCAGGCCCCAUCCCUAUUCAGUGCUGAUAAUUGUCUUGUGCUUCUCUUUUUUUGCUACCCAAGGGAUUCUGAGAGGCAUUUGGUGGGUCAAGUCCGUCUAGACCCACAUGUUCUUAGACUGCAGGCUUGAGCUGGUGGGGCAAGCCUGGCACAGGGGCAUUCCUGUCUUGCCCUUCCUCCAGCUGAGCUCAGGAACCUGGCCCCACGGAGGGUGCUGAGGAUGUCAAGAGAGACGGUUCCUUCUGCGCCGUGCCUCUCUAGCUGCCUGCACACAUUACAUGAUUCAGUGACCCAGGUUGUCAACCACGUGUCACCACCCCUGAAGUUUACUCAGAAGCCUCUGCUAAGUGCUAAAGGAGGGUGCAAACGCAGGCCUGCAACCAUCAACUGGCCUUGGGGGGGGCACUUCCUGUUGGGCUAAGUAUCCUGAUGCACACAGCUCGUGGCGGCCCUCAUGAUAUAUAGCAUACCUAUUCAUCACAUGGGGAAAUAGAGGUCCAGAUAGCUCAAGGGUUCAUUCCCUGCCCAGGGACUUCAGGAUCACCAAGACAGGAGGAGUUUGGAUCCAGCUUUGAUCUCAGCAGCUUUGCCUACAGGCUGAAUGACAGGAAGCUGCAUGAGUGACACCUUCAGCCUUCAGUCACCCCCAUGAGUCUCUGAAUGUUCCUCCUGUUGGUUACUUCUGAUGGAAACCCUCCCCGUAGUCCUGGGGACAAAACAGGGACGAGAAAUUGAGAGAUGCAGAAAGCAGGUGCUUUACAGAGCAUGUGGGAAACUGAGGCAAACAGGCAAGGAAGGGAGACAGAGAUGGGACCCGGGGUUCAUUCCGAGCCAGGUCAGAUGGCAGAGGAAAGCCUGAGCCCAAAUAUAUAACAAACAUCAAGACAGGAGGGAGAGUAUGCACAAAGGCCUAUGCAACCGCAGCCUUCUUGUAUGUUGGAGGAAAGUAAGAAGGUCUAUGGGACUCUAACUUAGUAAGAGGGGGGAGGAAAGAGUGUCACAAUAGAGGAACAGGUCAAGGUCAGAGGGGCAACUGGGCCAGAGAGUUCAGACUGGGUAAGAAUGUGGAGCUAGGCAUGUAUCCAACAGCUGGUGGCAAUGUGACUCCUCUCUCUCUCUCUCUCUCUCUCUCUCUCUCUCUUUCUCUCUCUCUCCCUUCCUCCUCCCCUCCCUCCCUCUCUAUCUUUCCCUCCCUCACCACGUAAGUGUGUGUGUAUGCAUGUGUGUGUGAGUGUGUGUGUGAGUGUGUGUGUAUGUGUGUGAGUGUGUGAGUGUGUGUGAGUAUGUGAGUGUGUGAGUGUGUGUGUAUGUGAGUGUGUGUGAGUGUGUGUGUGUGUGUGAGUGUGUGUAUGCGUGCACGUGUGUGUGUGAGUGUGUGUAUGCGUGUGUGUGUGUGUAUGUAUGUGUGUGAGUGUGUAUGUGUAUGUGUCUGUGUAUGUGUGUAUGUAUGCGUGUGAGUGUGUAUGUGUGUGUGUAUGUGUGUGUGUGCUGACACACCAGAGUCUGAUGUCAAGUGUCUUCCUCAAUCACUUCACCUUCCACCUUAAUUUUGGGAAUAGAGUCUCACUCGCACUAGGAGCUCAGCGGUGGAGCUACACAGCCUGGCCACUGAAUCCCCUCGAUCUGCAUGACUCUGACCCUCCUGAGGUGGGACUGUAGGUGGGUGGCAUCAUCCCUGAUUUAUAUAUAGAUACCAAGGAUCCAAAACAAAGCUGGUACCAUCUCUGGGCUGUUUUGUUCCAGUGGGAUGGAGUCCCCCCGCCACCUGCCACACACACACACACACACACACACACACACACACACAUGCACACAUACACACACACAUACACACUCACACACACACACACACAUACACACAUACACACACACAUACACACACACACACAUACACACACAUACACACACACACACAUACACACACAUACACACACACACACACACACAUACACACAUACACACACACACACACACAUACACACAUACACACACACAUACACACACACACACAUACAUACACACACACACACACACACACACACACACACACACACACACACACACACCUUCUGCCACAGAGUCUGAGCCUUUACACCUGGGCUACGGUUGGUGGCGUCCGGGUUCACGGCAGCUCUGUGGACCAUGUGUGCGUGCAGAUUCUUAAGAUUUGUUUGAAAAGACGACCUUUGGUUGCCAGAGUAAUUUUGGUUCAAGUUGGCACCCGAAACAAAGCGGCCUUUCAAGGUCCCCAUGGCCUAUAGGCAGCCAGGACUUUUUUCAAUGAGAUUGUGGGAAAGUUGCCAAGUCGUUUGGGCCCUGUAAAUUAGGCCUUGUUUAAAAAUUUAGAUAAAGCUCGACGUGAGAGAGAAACGCUUUCAUAACAUGCAACGUGAAUUAUGCUGCAGACCCCUUUCAAGUUCAAUGGAACUGUUCUCUUGAAGCUCUGAGACACGAAAUGCCUCGAAUGUCAAAAAGAUUUUUCGUUUAUUGUCCCAAGUAAAACGAGGGUGUUUUAUGUGGUUUAAUGGCUCCCUCAGAUGCACAUGUAAAUGGAGUUCGCUCGAGAAUACUGGGCCUCUUUCUCUGUUUUCACAAACCUGCCUCCCUUUCAGCAGCCACCCUGUGAGGGCAGGUCUCAUGGUCCCCACUUGGAGAUGAGGAACAGGAACACAUAGCAGAAACUCGCCCAUGUCAGCCGCAGGUUCGCCACCAACACGUCGUGUGUCUGUUGUUAACUGUUGACAAACCCAGAAGCCGCGCACAGACAUACCAUAGUACAUGUGUGGUAGUCAGGAGAUAACUUCAGGAGUUGGCGCUUUCCACCAUAUGGGUCCUGGAAAUUGAACUCAGGUCACCAGGCUUGAUGGCAAGCCUCUCUACCCACUGAAACCAUCUUGCCAGCCCAAUCUGACAUCCUAAAAGGUGCUUUGUUAAUGUGGCAGCUGCUUCCUUGGAAAACUCUUCUUCUUCUGGGUCACUUAGGGUGUGACCAGUUGUGUCUAUGUGUGCAUGUGCGCAUGUGUGCAUGUGUGCUCGCACAUGCACACAUGAGUGUUUUCCAGCUGUGUGACCCUAAGAAAGACACUUAACCUCUCUGAGACUUUGUUUUCUCCUCAGUAGACUAGAAGGUAAUGCUACACAUUGUCUUGAAAGCUUGUUGCAAAGACUGGAUUAAGUUUAAUGUCUGUAUGGAUAGAAAUAAUGUAAGUCAUUGGUUUUUUUUUUUUUUAACCUAAUCAUGUGCCAUUACAUCUUGGGUGCUUAUGAAAUUUGAACACUCUACAAUCCAUUGCUUUUCUGAAAAUAGCCCUUAAUUUUAGUUCAGAAGUCUGUCUUUCGUUUCCUUAGGAUUUGAAGUUCAUAGCACACCUUCCUACCUAGCCGGCAUCCUUCUGCACACCCGAUGACUUAGGCUAAAUGGUAUCAUUAUUUCUAUUGACUUCUGCUGUUAGUUCAGAGAUGGCCCCAUCAUCCAAUCAGAGUCCAUCCCAGCACAUCAGUGGCAGCUACUAGGAACUGUGCCCCAUCUGGAGACUCGAAGGGUGGAGCAGCUGUAUCCUUCUUAGCACCAGGAAGAGAGAGCCAGGUAAAUAGAAACAAGUAUCAGAUGAUGUGGGCUAGCAUAGACACUGCAAUUACAUAUGUCCAUAUAACCCAAUGUAUGUAUGUAUGAGGUAUGUAUGUAUGCAUGUGUUGCAGGAAUGUAUAGGUGCUACACAUGUGGGUGUAGACAUGCUUGCCUGUGUAUAUGUAUGUGGAGACCAGAGGUUCGCACCAGUGUCUAUACCUAUCACUUUCUACCCUAUAUUUUUGAGUCAGGGUCUCCCAUUGAAUCUGGAACUUAUUAUUUUGGCUAGGCUGGCUGUCCCUGGAUCCUCCUGUCUCUGCCCCUAAGCGCACCAAGCUUACAGGUGUAUACUGCCACAUUUGGCUUUUUAGGUGGGUCCUGGGGAUCUGAACUUGGGUCUUCACACUUAAGCAGCAACCACCUGACCCACUGAGCCAUCUCCCCAGCUCAGGUUGGAAAUUUCUAGAAGGGACCCAUGUGUGGGCACCUGGGGGAUCAGCCUUUAGAAGGCUCCUACAGGUGGUUCUGUGGCCCUGCAGCUGACAAUCAACUUCAGUGUCGGUCUCUCCUCUCUCCCCCUCUCCCCUCCCCAUCCCCCUCUCCCUUUCCAUCUCUCUUUCUCUCUUUCCCCAUUCUACCUCCCCCUCUAGCUGCUUGUCCUCCGGGUCUAAUUCCCUCCUACUGCACAGCUCUUCCACCUAGGGAGGCUCAUUCCAAAGCUUCCAGCUGGCACUGCACGGCUUGCUGGUGACAUGAAGACAUGAGGCUCCAGGUGGCAUACAUCACAGCUUGUCACCUCAGCCUGUGUACCCGAGACAGUGUGAGAAUGCUGGAGCCCACAUCCUCUCUGGCGCUGGCUGGAUUUCUCUUGGGGCGGGUGUGGGGUGGAGUGGAAACUUCCAGGCAGUUGCUCUCCUCUACAGACGAAGAAGCUGGAGUACAAAGUGCAGGCCAGCUCAUAGGUGUGUGUCCCCAAAGGUCUAUGUUGUUUCUCUGUACGUGUGUGCAUCUGUGUGUAUAUGAGCAUGUGUGUGUGGAGGCCAAAGGUCAUUGUUGGAUAUCUCCCUAGAUUGCUCUCCACCAUAUUUUUUGACAGUUGAUACAGUAUCUCUUACUGAACCUGGAACUCACCACUUUGGCUGCCAGCAAGCCCCAAGGACCCCAUUCACAGCCCCUACGCCCUGAGUCUCUGAGUUCCUGGUGCUAGAAUUAGUAGGCAUGUGCUACCUUGCCUGGGUUUUGUGUGUAUGCAUGUAUGUAUGGUGUGUGUGUGUGUGUGUGUGUGUGUGUGUGUGUGUGUGUGUUUGCACUCACUUGCACACAUGUGGGCACAUGUACUGUAUUGUGGGUAUAGACUUCAGAGGACAACCUCGGGUCUUGGCCCUCCCCUUCCACUUUGUUUCAGCCAUGGUCUUUGCCUGAAAGCUUCCAGGGAUUCCCCCACCUUCACCCUCGAUCUUCCCAUAGGGGUUCUGGGAUUACAGUCAUGCCACCAGCUUUACAUGAGUUCAAAUCCAGGUCAGGGGUUUUACCCGCUGAGCCAACUUCAGAAAUAGUAUAGAAGUGAUCUGAGGUCAGCUUUUCUUAAGGCCACACCACAGCUUCUGCUAAGCGCCAUGGAUUUUAAUAAACAGUAUUUUGAUUGGAUUUAGAAGUCUUAGGAAGACAAAAUGAACAUUUUCACAGUUCCCUGUCAAACCCGAGUGUGAUCGCCAAACUGUCAAGUUAAAAUAGAGCAGGAGACACGGCUCAUGUGAGCAUCCCUCUUGCUGGUGGGAGCUUCUCGGGCCUUCCCGUAAUUUGCAUUUUUCUCCUCUCUCCCACCAUCUCCCUCAGCAGGUACUAGCUAAGCCUUCUGGGACAGGAUGGUGGGCAUCAGUGGGUUCACAGGAGGACUCUUGAAUGGUACCAGUCAGAACGAGUUUGAAUGCGCUGAAUACUUGCUUUUAGUUGAAAUACUGAAUACUUGUACAGAGCAGUGGAUCUCAACCUACCUAACGCUGCGACCCUUUAAUACAGACCCUCAUGUCCUGGCGACCCCCAACCAUACAAUUAUAUGUCCUGCUACUUUAUAGCUGCAAUUUUGUUACUGUUAUGAAUUGUAAUGUAAAUAUCUGAUAGGGAGGAUGUCUGAUAUGUGACCUCCAAAGGGGUUGUGAUAUCUCUCUGUCUCUGUCUCUCUGUCUCUGUCUCUGUCUCUCACAUGCACACACACAUGCACACAUAGAAGGUGAUUUUAAAGAGCAUUAUUUAAAAUGCUUUAUUAUAUAGAAGUCUCUCUUUCUCUCUCUCAUGUGUAGUGUGUGUGUGUGUGUGUGUGUGUGUGUGUGUGUGUGUAUAAGUGUGUAAGUGUGUGUAUACAUCCUCUCACUGGCCCAGAGCUUAUCAGUUUAUCUAGGCUGGCUGCUCGACAAAGCCACAGGGACUCUCCUGUUUCUUCUCCUCCAUGUCAUGGUUACAAGCAGAUGCCAUCCCUCCUGUAGGGUGCGGGGACUGUGGUCCUGAUGCUGUGCAGCAAGCCUUUUACCCACUGACACAUCACUCCAGUCCUUUUUCUUAGUUUUUUCUUUGAUCUACUCAUCUUCUGACCUAUUCUGCAACUAGAGGCUGUGAGGCCAUGAUGUUGUCUCUUCCCCCCCCCCCUUCAGAUGUUGCUGAGAAGUGAAACAGGACCCCAAACAUCUCCCUGCAGAUGUUCCCUUGUAGGACUUCAUCCUGCAUAUACCCACCCUUGACCACCUUCAUGGAUCUGAGCCUGAUGUAACUAGCUGCAUCCUGCUUCAGAAAUGGCCUGGGGGUGGGGUGAGCACACUUGUUUCUUCAUGGUGGUGACUCCCUGUUGGGACAGAAUGAUAACAUACUCUUAACAUUGUCAGACCUGGUUGCUGUCACAUCUUUAGUGUCCAGGGUGGGGGGUUAUUAAUCAGGGUUUCUAUUCCUGAACAAAACAGCAUGACCAAGAAGCAAGUUGGGGAGGAAAGGGUUUAUUUGGCUUACACCUCUAAACCGCUGUUUAUCACUAAAGGAAGUCAGGACUGGAACUCAUGCAGGUCAGGAAGUAGGAGUGAUGCAGAGGCCAUGGAGGGAUGUUCCUUACUGGCUUGCUUCCCCUGGCUUGCUCAGCUCGCUUUCUUAUAGAACCAAGACUACCAGCCCAGGGAUGGCACCACCCACAAUGGGCCCUCCUCCCCACCUUGAUCACUAAUUGAAAAAAAAAAAAUGCCUUACAGCUGGAUCUCAUGGAGGCAUUUCCUCAACUGAAGCUCCUUUCUCUGUGAUAACUCCAGCUUGUGUCAAGUUGACACACAAAACCAGCCAGUACAAUUGACCCCUUGUCAACUUGACACAAAAACACAUCACUAUUAAGCCACAACCCUUGCUUUCUUAUUCAUGCCCAAGAUCUAAAUAACAUUAAAAGUCCCACAGUCUUUACAUAUUGAAAGUUCAAUCCCUUUAAAAUGUCCAAUAUCUUUUAAAAUUCAAAGUCUCUUAACUGUGGGCUCCACUAAAAUACUUUCUUCCUUCAAGAGGGAGAAAUAUCAGGGCACAGUCACAAUCAAAAGCAAAAUCAAACUCCAACCAUCCGAUGUCUGGGCAACUCACAAUCUUCUGGGCUCCUCCAAGGGCUUGGGUAACAUCCAAGCAAGCCAGUAAGGAACAUCCCUCCAUGGCCUCUGCAUCAGCUCCUGCUUCCUGACCUGCUUGAGUUCCAGUCCUGACUUCCUUUGGUGAUGAACAGCAACAUGGAAGUGUAAGCCGAAUAAACCCUUUCCUCCCCAGCUUGCUUCUUGGUCCUGAUGUUUGUGCAGGAAUAGAAACCCUGACUAAGACAGGGAGAUUGGUUCCAGGUUCCACCACAGAUAUUAACACUUGAAGAUAUUCAAGUCCCCUGUGUAAGAUGGCAGUAUCUGCAGGUGACCUCUGUGUGUCCUCCCAAAUGUCCUCCAUGACCAUCACCAAGUGGAGUAUGGUCCCCUAUACAAAUGCAAAGGCUGUAGGAAUGACUCCCUGUCUGUGUUGUUUAGUGAGUGGGAACUAGGAAACAAGUAUCAAGGUUGGGGUGUGGCUCAGUGGUAAAUUUAUGUGCUUAGAUGUGCCCACGUUUCCAAGCUUCCUCCUCAGCACCAAAAGCAAGGGUAUACAUAUUUGGUAUAAGCACAACUGUCAUAGACAGCAUGCUCUGUGAACCAGACACCAGGGCAAGGAUGCUAAAACAAGAACUAGAGAGAGAAAGAGGGUUCAGCAUUCCCCAGGAAGUCUUGCACAGUGGGUAUCCCAACCUUAUUUGCAUAGCUCAAACAGCAAAGGUUGGUCAAGGUUUGCUUUUAGAAAAUGUCUAGAUUAUUUUAAACAAAUAUCUCUGACCUGAAGAUGGUUAAACUCAAUGAUACAGAACCCACUCCGUGAUACAGAACCACAGGCUGGUGGUCACAGGUUUCCAUAAGAAGACACCGUUCUUUUCCCUCGCUUUGCAUCUCUCCUUUCUAUUGUCUCCAGCUGUUGCAUGUGCAUGUGUCAAGGUAGCCAUGGGGACCGGAUAGCCUAAUACGACACAACCGGUACUCAGAAUAUCCUCCUCACUCUAUCUUGAACUGUCCCUGCCAUGUGAACCUUGAUCAUUCACAGGAAGACUCAUCCAAUGUCCCCCAGUCCAUUUCUGUCAACCUUGCUUGACCACAAAGGAUUGUGGGAAAUAAGUGUGUCUGCUUGGGCAGGGAAGGUGACUGCAAUAUGAAUCACCUUGGAAGGAUAGGGGUGAGCAUGCUUCAUGAAUAAUCUUUAUUCAUCCUCAUCGGCCUCCUCCUCUCCCCCGCCUCUUCCUCCUCCUCUUCUUCCUCUUUCUCUUCCUCCUCUUUCUCCUCUUCCUCCUCUCCCUUCUCUUCCCCCUCCUUUUCUUCCUCUUUCGUCUCCUCAUCUCCCUCCUCCUCUUCUUCCUCCUCCUCAUUAUUCUACUCUUCCACGGAUGGCUAGCAGCAUCCUUCCACAGGUGCCCCUGCCUCUUGCAGUACAUCACUUGCAGUCUCUACUCCCCACCCACUCUGCAUCUUCCCUGACAGCCCAUCUCCUAUGGAGCCACGUCACUUUUGUGAUUCUCAGGUGUUAUCUUCCUAGAUCUACCUUGGUUUACCCUUCUGGCAUCAUCCCAUGCUACUGCUCACCACAGACACUGGGAUGGAGCCACUUUGAGAUGUCUUUGGUGUCCCAAGAUACUUUCAAGCCCUCUUUGGCCAGAUGCCCUUUAUGAGUCCCCCUUGCCUGGACAGCUACAUAAGCAUCACCCCCAAUCCCAAGGCCCCAGAGACUGGUACUCUGCUUGGGACACUUAGUCCCCAGAAGGUCCAACAGCAGAAGCUGAGGCAAGAGGAAGGGACCUCCCUUUAAAAUCUUGAAGCAAAAAGCAGCUAGGAACUCUCUCUGGGGACAGUCCCCAGCCACUCUCCAAGCUGAAAAUGAAAUGGCCUGCUGUAGAGACGGGUAGCAUCACACACAUCAGCUUAAUGGUUUUUGGCCACAUUAAAGAUUAAUGUUGAACGUCAACACUUUGAGUAGCCAAACGUCUCCUUAAAGCUGGGUAUCUGAAAAUGUUCCCUGUAGGGGACAUUGGGGGCUGUGGCCAUUGUCUAUUUGCAGUAGUCCAGAUGCCCUGGGGAAAAGAGGCCAUCUGUGAGUAGAGCAGAGAGGGGCUUUGAUGGCUCUGGCACAAAACUGAGUGGCUAAGCAACUUCCUCUGCCCUCAGAUACCCCGCCUGUCAUUUUCAGGUCUCCCUACUGUUCUGUCCUCAUUCUGUGGGUAACAUAGAGGGUAGACAGUCUCGAUGCCCACUGAACACUAUGACACAUCUGUGCCUUUGAUUCCUUUGCACUAUCUAGGAAUGGGACGUAAAGAUCUCCUUCCCAAAUCUGCCAAGUGCUUCCCAUAGUAGGUCCACUGCUGUGCAUCAGCCUUGCAUGCUGCUGACUCCCAGAAUCCUUUGCUUCUGCUUCCCUGUGAGGUCAGAAAACUGGAGACAUACAGCCCCAGCUGGAGACCCGUCUCUGUAACAUAGCCUUCAUCUCUGUGCCCCUCCAUCCAGUGCCAGUGGAAGAUUACAGGCCUAGAUUACAGUCUAGAAGUCCGUGGAAGGUUCUUUGAGAAAUGCCCUCGCUGUGUUGGCCCUGAAACAGCUAUGUUUUUAAAAACCCAAUCUGUUGCUCUAACCAAGUUUAAAAACAUCCCUUCUAUUUCAGAUUUAAAAGCUGCAAAUUAUUUACUAUGUGAAGUGUUGCUUAAUAAAAUUAUGGCCUAAUGAGCCGCUUUGUCUGCCUUGCCAGGUUUCAGGCGCCUGGGCCUACUGGGGUUUGCUCCGAGCCCAGCAGCUCCAUUGCAGGCAGACAAGGCCUCCCGUCUGGUGCCAUGGGAGACUCAAGCUGGGUUCCCUUCUUUCCACUGAAGACUGCAUCAGUACCCAUCUGUCCCAUGUGCACACAUGUACUGGGAACCAGAGUUAACCUGGGACAACAGUACAGGGUAGUACACACUCUAAUUCCUCGUUGUGGCCAUUUGCAGAGGACAAGCAUUCAAGAGAAUUGUCACACUUGGUUUCUACACUGGGUUCCCACUGUUACCUCCUCCCCUAGUCACUUUUCUUGUUGCUGCUGUGAAAUAACUGCAAACGUAAUUUAAGGAGGGAAAGACUUGGUAUGGCCCCCUUGUACUUUGUGUUAGCACUCCAUCAUGGCAGACAAAGCUUACCCGCAGGUGGUUUCCUUUCUCAGAGAUCCAAAUCCUUUCCUCCUGUCCUCAUAGACUAGAGAUAGAAGCCAAAGGAUAAGUAAGGAGAUGCCCGAGGCCGGGGGAGGGGGGCGGGGGGGGCCUGGUCAUUGCUUCACAAGCUUCUGCCACUCAAAGUCUGGGGCAGCAGGCCCACGGUCCUCAUUCCCCGUGGCCAGGGAUUACGUUUCCCUGUGAGUCGUAGGUGUUCGCUCUGGCUCACUUUAAAUCUUGGAAAAAGUCAUUCCACUAUUUAAAUAUAGAAGAGUAACAUAUUUUAAUAAUCAGACCCCGGGGCAUAGUUUUCCCUGUUGCAUGAAAAAAUAAUGGUCAAAACAGCCCGCAGCCAAUCGCAACGUGGCGUGAGAGGAAAGCAAAGAGAUGUGAACCCGCCUGCAAACCAGUACUAGACCACCUUGUAGCAAGGCUAAGUCCCCGCGCUGCCUGCUUCCCAUCCCCUGACGGAGAUGCUGGAAUCCUUCACCUUAAGUUCAAAGAAUCUUGGCCUGUUCCCAAGGUUGGAGGCCAUGCUAGAGAUGGCGCAAUCCAGUUCUGUUUGUAGCUUAGGGAGAGGCAGCGCAGUUUCAUGGAGCCUCUGGUAAGAGGUCUGCCAAGAUGGCUCAGCAGAUAAAGGGGCUUGCCGCCAAGCCUGAUGACCUGAGUUCAUUCCCUGGGACCCACAUGGGAGAAACAGAGAACCUCCUCUUGCAAGUUGUCUAUGGCUGCUACAUACGCACUGUGGCAGGCACACAUCUGUCACACGCAUGCAUACCAAAUGAGUGUGUGUGUGCGCGCGCACGUGCGCGCGUGCGCGUGUGUAAAUGACCGAGUAAGAUUGUGGGCUGAGAAAAUAGAUCGGUCAGUGAGUUGUUUUAAGGACCCGAUAUUGAUCCCCAGAACCCAUAUAUAAAAGAAUCCAGUACAGCUCUGGGAAGACAGAGACAGGCAGAUACAUAGGAUGGUCACCAGCCUCACAUGCUUGGCAAAUUCCAGGAGAUUGAGAGAGCUUGUCUCAGAACAAACCAAACAAGCAUAACACCCAAACAUGUCCUCUGGCUUCCACAUUCAUGUAUAUUUAUGUGUGCGCACGUGACACACACACACACACACACACACACAUCUUAUACCUUUAAAGAUUAAAGGUGAGAUGAAACAUCAUUUUAGAAUGCAGGCUUGCAAAGCCAGGCGCUGGGUGGUUAAGUGCCCUGGCGGUCUGGUCCUCAGACAGGGAGCAUGAGGAGUCUGCAGGCCCCAGGGCCUGCUUCUACCUAGGAAGCUGCCACACUGUGGGAAUCAAUGGGGCCUGGUGUCACCCGAUCUGUCCCAGCAGAAGCUACAACUGCUUCCUGUUCCCCCUCUUCUGCCUUGUACACAUUGGCGUAAACUCAGACUGAAAAGAGGCAAUCUCAAGUCACUCAGACUGAAAAGAGGCGAUCUCAAGUCACAGCUUGUGGCUUCUUCCCCUCUCUCUGACUCUGGUCCCUGGAGGUGAACCCCUUGGGAUGGCACUGCCAGGAAGGCUAGGUGAGAUUCCAGGUACUCCCAUCAGCCUGCAGGUGCUCCUAGCUCUCAGUUGGCAAGGCAGUGUCAACUGCUACUCCUCCCCCAGCCAAAGUGUGUGCAUUCCUGUCUCAUCAGGGAAGCAGAGGCAGCCUGAAUUUCUUUCCUAGUGGGACCUUGUUUCCCAUCUGCCUGCUGUCAUGGUGGCAUGGGAAAUAGAGUCAAGUGUAAGAGCCCACGUGAAGAAAGCAGGCAUGACAUCAUAGGGACAGAAUGACAGUGCUUACUCAAAGGCCACAACCAAGAGGCACUGCAUAGCGAGGAGACCAGGAAAUAGCUCAGGAGUGCUUAGCUCUGGGCAGAAGGAAAGAGGCCACCCCCCCAUACCCCAGCACCCCGCCCCUGCAUCAUCUUUCUUGUCUAUUUCAAGAGCUUCAUGCCGGGAAGGUGGUUUAUCAUGGAAAAUGUCUUUGAAAGGAAGUCUGCUUUGGAAACCUACAAACUGUGAAGAAGGAAUAUCAGUAGCAUCGAUGGAUGUCAGUGAGUGCAGGUUAUCUGACGGGUCUCCACAGGCUGCUUUCUGCAGCCCAAAGGGAGGGCACAUGACAGGAGCUGAUCUAAUGAGACACAGAAGAGCCCCGCCCCCACCCCUGCUCAGCCUGCAGAGGGGGGUGGAUGCUUCACCCUGGAAUCCUGAGGAGAUCCAGAGCAGCAUCUCAGGAGGAUGCAGGUCAAAGGGUAGCGCCCUGGCUCAUUAGCACCUUGUCUCCCACAAAUAUUUAAAAGUGGGAGCGGAAGGAGGGUCACAGCAUCUAAGAACAGACAGGCAUAUGACAGCCACAUAUGCCACUUGGGCAUGUGCAGCCGGAAGGUGGGUGGCAGGAGAGCAAACCUACCCCCCAGGGCACGGUUCUGAAACCCUUGAGCCUGGAAUGCCCAGAAGGUUACUCUAGGGCACAGUGAGCGCACGCCAGGGCAGAGCAUCCUUAAGAUGAACUGUCGAAGUUACAGAGACAAAGUUCAGAGCUUAGACAGUAGAAAGACCCAUCCAGAGACUGCUCCAUCUGGGGAUCCAUCCCAUAUACAACCUCCAAACCCAGACAAUAUUGCAUACUCCAGCAAGAUUUUGCUGACAGGACCCUGAUAUAGCUCUCUCUUGUGAGGCUAUGCCAGUGUCUGGCAAAUACAGAAGUGAAUGCUCACAGUCAUCUAUUGGAUGGAACACAGGUCCCCUAAAGAAGGAGCCAGAGAAAGUAACCAAGGAGCUAACGGGGUCAGCAACCCUAUAGGAGGAUCAACAAUAUGAACUAAUCAGAACCCCACAGAAUUCUGUCUCUAGUUGCAUAUGUAGCAGAGGAUAGCCUAGUUGGCCAUCAAUGGAAGGAGAAGCCCUUGGUCUUGUGAAGAUCAUAUGCCCCAAUACAGGGGAAUGCCAGGAAGCUGGAGUGGGUGGAUUGGGGAGCAGGGUGGGGCGAGGGUAUAGGGGACUUUGGGGGAUAGCAUUUGAAAUGUAAAUGAAGAAAAUAUCUAAUUUAAAAAAAAAGAAGUGAAAAAAAAAAGAUGAACUGUCGGUUCCUUAAAGGACCAAUCGAGACCCAGGAGGUGGAGCCUUUGGCAUUUCCCUGGUGGGGGGGGGGGUCUCCUUCCUCUGCCUCCGCUUUGCACGGACCCCUGGGAAGGAACCUGUUGGAGAUGGGUUCUGACUCAUGCUGCCUCUCAUGUUUGGAAGAAACGUUACUCUUGCCUGGGUGGGGGGCAGCUCAGACCUCUAAUCAUGUUGGGGGCAAGGGCUUUGGGAUUCUGCUUCAUUGAGCUCCCAAUGGGUGCUGGCAAUGGCUAGCUACUGCGACUGCUUUGCUGAAGAGCAGGGACUAGGGGCCAGGGGAAGAGAAACCAACCCGUCUCUUUUUAACCUACUCCCUCAAAUUCAAAUGGGUAUGUGAGGAGCCUGGGUGGAGGGGGUCAGCUACCCCAGAACUACAAAUCCAUCUACAAACAAGUGGGGGCGGGUCAGCUGGUACAAACCCUCAAAGUUGUCCCUGCUCAGUGAACUUGGCCUUGAUGAGUGUACUCUGUGGAAGCGUCAGCAGAAAGAACAUUUGAUUGAAUCUAUUUUCCGAAAUGUGAUUGGGGCUAUUUUUCCUGAGAGGAUAAUUGUGGGGUCUAAAAUGAAGCCUUUAUCCUCCAACACUGGAAGGAAGAACAUUGUAUAACACGGUUCGUGAUGCUUAUAGCUCUCUGGCUGGCAUGGCUGAACCCUCCACUCACCUUCUCAACUUCAUUUCAGUAAAAGGGGGGUGUCUCUUACCUGACCCCAGGCUGUGUCACAAGAGGACCUAAUAUCCCCAAGAAGAAAAUCAUCCUACACUUUGCGGUUCCCCCAAAAUGUAUUUUUCAUUGUUUUGCUUUAAAUAAAUUCUUGCAGAGCGUCUGGAGCUGAAAUGAGGUCUGCGCAGGGAGGGUCAGCUGGCGGAAAAGUAGGCCCGGCGUCAGGAAUGAAUAGUCAAAAUAGACCCCACUGGCAUCUUGAAGACAGGCUGCGUUGGGAAAGCCAGGUCUUUGUAAGGACCCCAACAGUGUCAUUCUGAUCCCAUUAUAAAUCUAUGACAAAUGCCCUUUACUUUCAACAACUCGCGGUAUCCAUGAGAAGUAAUUUGAGACUGGAGCCCGGUGCUCUCAAAAAAGAAAAAAAAAAUUCAAAGAUUUUACAGUCAUCGCUCACUCUUUCUUUUUCUCAGUUGGCUUGAGGCUUGGCAUUGUUUGUUUGUUUGUUUGUUUCUCUUCCUUCCUUUCUCCCUCCCUCCCUCCCUCCCUCUCUCCUCAGUGCCAUGUAUUUAUAUAUUGGUUUGUCCACAUACUUACUACCCAACCUCCUUCUUCUCCUAUCCCCCCAUCGACCACCACCUAGAAAGCACCUCAUUAUUAUCCGUGUGCAGGUCACGUACCAGCUUGAAGAUCUUCUAAUGCUUUCCCACUUCCUGCAAUAUCUGGAGACAUAUUGUUUGUCACAACCGAAAGAGGGGAGAGAUGUCAGCAGUAUCUAGUGGGGAUGACAUUAAAACCCUCACAGUUCCCCUUGACAGCGCCCUAUGGCAGAGAAUUCUCUAGAGUCAAUGUAAUAAUGCUAAGAUUGAGAGCUUAUGCUGACUCAGAGAGAUUAUGGGACUUCCGGCCACUGGCAUUUUACAGCCUCACAGGAAAGCUAGCCAAAAUGGUUAGCUAGGUUAGGAUGGUGCCUAUGUGACUUGCUGGCCAGGCUACAAGUAUGUGGUCCUUUCUCCUGCACAGGUGGGUUCGUGAACAGUCUUCUCUGUGAGUUCUGAGAUGAUGCCUUCCCUACAGGUCCAGGAGGAAUUAGAAAUGAUAGAAAGAGGUUGACUCAACAAAAGGCCCAUGUUGUGGGGUGUAUCAUCCUGAAGUACAUGUUGAAGUGGGGGGGGGGGCGUCUAAGGCCGAGGCAAUACCUUCAAACACCUGCAUGUCCAGGUGAACUGGCCACAGGUACAGAUGUGUGAGAGUGCCAGGGUUAGUGGCAACUGAGCAGCUGCUGUCAUGGUUAGCUUGAUCAUGGUGUGCCUGUAGUUCAGGGGUGACUGGGAAGGAACACUGCCCCCUGCAGCUCUGUGUGAAGUCCAGGUGUUUAGUAGGGAUUUGAGGAAGGAACUGGCUGGUCUCUAACUACAGACCCUCAGCCCCUGCUUGUCAGAAGGGUCGACAUGCCAGUGAAAGAGAAACAAUGGCUAUUUCCUGCACUGAUUGGAAGCUCAUCUGCGAAGAAUCCCAUGCCAUCUGCUUCCCAAACAAGUCCCUAGCUCUCUCCAAGAGGGCUGCAGGCCGUCUCCAAGGAUCCUGGCUUUGUAGGGAGAUCCCUGCAUUUUUAAGUGUAAACAACUCAUCCAACAUUCAUUCAGAAAGGCAAACAUGUAACUACUUGGGUCAAACAAAAAUAUCCAUCCCUGGGUCACCGUCCACAUGGGUCUUACUCACAGUCACUUGGAAUUAAAGGAGUGAAGUUCUGUAUUACCAGAAGGUACCUGGAAUACAGUAGGUGCUCAAUUACCACAAGGUACCUGGAAUACAGUAGGUGCUCAAUAAAUGUUCAUGGUGCAUGAAUCACAGUACAGCCAAAAUCUAGCAGUGAUCAUAGAAUGACAUCAGAAUAGUCUAGGAAGAAUGUUACCUGAGCAUUGCCCCCUGGGUCACAGACUAUUGACAAAUGAGAUUGGACACUUUUCUGUGGCAGGACCAGAAUGAGCACUGUGCCUGUAUGGUGCAUUCAGUAUCCCAAAGCCUUUGAUGAGAUAUAUAGGUGGGCAGCCCAUGCCAAGCAGAGAAACCAGCAAGAGCUAAGCAGGGCUGAGCAGAAAGUAUCUCACAUCCCCUGUGGCCUCUUUGCCUGGGGGAGAACCCAGUAAGGGUGUUGCAGGCACAGUCACCUUCAUUGGAGAAGGUUACAUGUCCCUUAUCCUUCAGCCUCCUGCUUUUCCAGCUUCUUCCUGUCCAUGCGUUGACAGGGACUCACUCUUUGGGUCACAGUGCACAAGCAAAUAGUCCCCCUUAGGUGACAUGUUACCUGUGGCUCUAUGAUUUCCAAGUCCCUCAGAGUUCAGCUUUACUACCAAGAUGACUGUUUGGGUAACAGUCACAGAUACGCUGUGCACAUUCCGCUGCAUAGCCCCUGCCUGCCUGCUGAUUGGUAAAGGGGUGGAAGAAGAGCCCCUUCUCAGGGAAGCCAGCACUGCCCAAAUGUCCCAGACUGGAAGAGGAAGACAGACGCCUCCUUCCCAGGUCCCAGCUGGAACUAUUUGUUAAAGCAAGCAGGGCAUCCCAGCCUGGCUGCCAACUUCAAGCCAGAAGUCCCUGUCACCUGGUUCACUCUGCUGUGACUUGGCUAAGGAACCACAUAGAAAGUUUGUGGAAACAGCUAGGGGCGCACCCAGAAUUCCUGCUUGGAAAAAGAAUGUCCACAUUUGCUUCUCUCUCUCUCUCUCUCUCUCUCUCCAUACAAACUCUUCUCUUCUUUAUGUGCAUUGGUGGUUUGCCUGCAUGUGGGUAUCAAAUCUUGGAGUUACAGACGCUUUUAAGCUGCCAUGUCAUGCUGGGAAUUGAACCCGGGUCCUCUGGAAGAGCAGUCAGUUGUCUUAACCACUGAGCACUGGGGGUAGAACCCAUGGUUUCAUUCCUGCCAGGCAAGCACUCCAUCAACUAAGCUAUAGUCCAUUCUUGCCUACUCUUGCACAUGCUACUACCAGCCUGAGAGUCGAGCUUUGGGGACACUCACAUGGGUAGACUCCCAGAUCUUUCCCAUACUCAUUUUCUCCCGCAGAUGGAGAGAGCAGAGUUUGGGUAACAGAAAGAUUUAAGAACACAUCUCCUGGGUUCCUAGGUAUGUUAGCCACCCUGAGAGCCCAGCCAUGUCCUCCUGACUCUGGAUACAUUAUAACUCACUGGGCAAGGAUUUCAAUGGUUCAACAGUGAACUUAUGUUUCCCAGCUCCUUCGUUUUAAAAUUAUCUUCUCAACCCUUUGAUAAUAUAGCAAUUUGGAUAGGUCUCCCGGUCAUUAGAGUGAAUUAGUGAAAUCCCUCUUUAUAGGUUCUUGUUUGUUUGAGCUUAACAGAGUUCGUUUAAAUCACCGGACGGCAGAGAUGCCUUGUGCAGUGAGCACUUGGAUAGCACUUCAUUAUAAACAGGCUUAGCAGCUGCGGCAGAUACAGAUUAGAACUGAUUGCUUCCCUGUCCAGGCCUUGUGUGUGGCUGUGGCACAGAGCAUCUUUGCCAGAGAGGGAAAUUCUUGUGCAUUUCUGCAUUUGCCGAACAAUUGCAUGUUUAAGUCCUUUACCUGUCCUAGGUGUGGGUAUUGGGGGGCUGCCAUUUGCUGGAAGAGUAUGUCUAGGUCUUCUUCAUUUGCUGAAGGCUUCUCUGGGUGUGAGAUGAGGGUCUUCCAUUGAAACCUCAAGCCCAGGUGACCUGAGGACUGGCCACCCGAGCUGAGAGAGGCACGGUACUGGAAAAUACAAGUUGACAGAGCUCCGAAGAACCGUCAGGUGCCAACAGUUUCCAGCCACAGAUAUUUCUUAUUUGCUUUUGUUUUAAGGCAGAGUCACAUAUAACAUAGGCUGUUCUUGAACUCCCUGUGUAGCUGAGGGUAACCUUGAACUUCUGAGCCUCCUGCUGCUAACUCUCAAAUGCUGGAGACAGAACCCUGGCUUCCUGAAUGCUAAGCAGGCAGUUCACAGGCUCACCUUCGCCAGUCACUGCAGAGCAGCGCUAGCCAACCUGCUGCUUUGUCUGCAGGACUCUAUUUCUUCUCAGAGCAAUGCAGCUGUGGGGAGGGACUGAGUAGAUUUCUCAGUGGUUAGCUUGCUUGUUGUGCAAGCAUAUAGGGCCAGAGUUCAAAUCCCCUGAAACCCCAACAUAAAUGCUGGGUGGGUGUGGUAGCCCACCUGUUAUUAUAGCCUAAGAACUUGAAGAUAAGAAAUUCCCAGAGCAAGAUUAGCCAUAUUGGUGAGAUCUGGGCUUUACAGAGAUAUAGCAGAAUGCCACGGCAAAUAAGAUGGAAGAGAAAAUAAAGAUGAUUCCUGGUAUCAACCUUAGGCGUGUGCACACAUUCACUCACACACGUGCACACACUACAUACACACUUACUCACACAGCUAUACACACAUACAUGCACACGUAUUUACACAUGCAUAUACACAUACACACACUUACACACAUACUUACACAUACAUGCAUACAUACUUACACAUGCAUAUAUAUACACCUAUACACACACAUACAUACAUACAUACAUACAUACAUACAUAUACUUAACACACACACCAUGGACAUUUCAGAGUGGCACAGGUGGGGAAACUGAGGCUGAAAGAGAAUCCUCUAGCAAGCAAACAGAACAGAACAAAGGUAAGCCAGCAGUUCUCAGAACCACAGUGCUAGGAGAGGCAACAUCUCACCUCUGAUGGACACUCACACCACCUACGCCCGUGUUCAGUACAGAUGGCUGCCCACCACCACCACCACCCCCCGCCAAGAUCUGACUCAGUCUGAAUGGAGCCCUGGAAUCUGCAGUUCUCACAAGUUCCUGGCUGUCCCUGCUGUUGGGUCCAGGGCCUCCACUGGGGAUACCCUGUCUGUGCAGUAGAGACGAGGUAUUCACCCGCAAUACAAAACAACCUAAAGUUGUUCAGAAGGUGGGGUGUGUGAGGUCCCAGCUGUGAGAAGAAAGGAGCCAGCGCUUUUAGGUGCAGCCAUCACAGUGGCACCUAGAAGAUCAUUGUGACAGUGACCCUUUUCAUGAGUAUGGUAGAAGAGGAAGCCACUCCCUCCUUGGCACAUGGGAGGAGGAGGGGCAUGGGGAACGUGAGGCCCACCCCCAAGUGGUCUAUUUUCUCUAGUUACACCUCAUCUUCUAACUUUCUAGAGCUUUCUAAAACAGUGACAUCCACUUGGGGACAACAUGGAAGGUGCACUGCCGAGCUAGCUGCAAGGAAGAAAUUCUCAAAACAGUUGACAGGAUAUCAAGUUCCUGCAGGCCCAGAGUGGGACCCAGCAGCUCUUAACUCUGUAACCUCGAGUGAAGGUUCAAUGUCUCUGUAAGUCUAAACAGGUUGUCAGGAUGAAGAUCUGAAAGACAUAGCCUGAUACACAGCAAGUAAUACAUGCCAGUGUGGGGAUACUAUCAUCUCGGUUGUAUGUUUGUGUUCAUACACAUGUCAGAGGUCACAGCCACACAGGUGUGUGCACAUUUGUUUGUGUGUGUGUGUGUGUAUGUGUGUGUGUGUGUGUGUGUGUGUGUGUGUGUGUGUGUGUGUGUAUGUGUGUGUGUGUGUGUGUGUGUGUGUGUGUGUGUGUGUGUGUGUGUGGUUAUGUUAUGGAGGCCAGAGGUCGAUGUCAGGUGACUUCCUCAAUCACUCUCCACCUUAUUUUUGAGAUAUGCUCUCUCUCUAAGCCUGGAGCUCACCAAUUCGGCUAGAGUAGCUGGUUGGUGGGUUCUAUCUAGGAUCCUCCGGUUUCUGCCUCCCCAGGGCUGGGAUUACAGAUGCACACUGCCACACAGCUUUUUAUGCUUGAUAUCUGAACUCAGGUCCCCAAGCUGGCAUGACAAGAUCGUUACUGACUGAGCUGUCUCCCUAGAGCCCUUUUGUCACUCCUUAUUGGGGUCACCUAUCCAUAGCUUCUGUUUCUCUGGCUGAGAGCAAGAAAGAAGAUGGAGUGGCCCACUGACCCAUGAAGGGAGGAGGAGGAUGGGAGCUGUGGGUCCCAAGUACAGUGUCCAGGUACCCAGUACAACCACAUCUACAUAGCUCCACUGCAUGUUGUCUCACAGCACUCCAGAAGUUAUUCCGGUUCACACGGGGGCGGGGGGCGGGGGGGGGGGGGCGCGAGAUUUGCAAGUGCUUCUGCCUGUAUCUUCCUUGAUGUGAUGUUUUAAGAGGUCAGGACGAUUAAACAGACUCUUCCCAGAAGAACAUGUGACCAAGGGUGGAAGUAGAGGUUGUAUUGCUGCAAGGUACCAAGAAGGGAUGAGGUCUUGAUACAAUUCUCGACUCUCUGGCAUCUAUCUAUCAGGGAGUCUUAAGAGAAUGAGUCCACCUAGCCUCUCUGCUCACCUUGAAGUCCCGGGAGUUCCUUCUCUGGUCUUCCUCUCAAAGGCAACAUUUUAUGCUGCUGACUUUAUAAUCAAUGGAGACUAAUGGCACAGUAAACUUCUAGAAAGUCAGCCACCGUCUUGCUCCUGCCAGGGAGAGUAAAAUUUUAUGUUUUCCAUAAAUUCAAGACGAAAACAGCAUUCCACAUCUGUUCCUGAAUCAGAUCCCUCAUUUUCAUAGUGAGCUUGCAGCCCGGGCUCUGCUACCUACAACGCAGUUUUCUAGUCCUGGCCCUGGGAAGCUGUUUCCUGUGUUGCCAGGGGGAUUUGAGAGUGGAAAUCCCCAAAU